rnacentral:rRNA from 1 species
UGGGGAAUAUUAGAAAUGGACGAAAGUCUGAUCUAGCAACACCGCGUGUGCGAAGAAGGCCUUCGGGUCGUAAAGCACUUUUUGGAAGGAAUAGGAAGGAAUGUACUUCCAGAAUAAGUCUCGGCUAACUACGUUCCAGCAGCCGCGGUAACACGUAGGAGGCGAACGUUAUCCGGAUUUACUGGGCGUAAAGCGCGUGUAGGUGGUUCUGUAAGUAGGGCGUGAAAGCUCCCGGCUCAACUGGGAGAGGCCGUUCUAAACUACAGAGCUAGAGGAUGGUAGAGGGAGGUGGAAUUCCAGGUGUAGCGGUGGAAUGCGCAGAUAUCCGGAGGAACACCAGUGGCGAAAGCGGCCUCCUGGACCAUUCCUGACACUCAGACGCGAAAGCUAGGGUAGCAAACG